rnacentral:rRNA from 1 species
CCUACGGGGGGCUGCAGUGGGGAAUAUUGGACAAUGGGGGGAACCCUGAUCCAGCCAUGCCGCGUGUGUGAAGAAGGCCCUCGGGUUGUAAAGCACUUUCAGUGAGGAAGAACGCCUGGUGGUUAAUACCCAUCAGGAAAGACAUCACUCACAGAAGAAGCACCGGCUAACUCCGUGCCAGCAGCCGCGGUAAUACGGAGGGUGCGAGCGUUAAUCGGAAUUACUGGGCGUAAAGCGCGCGUAGGUGGCUUGAUAAGCCGGUUGUGAAAGCCCCGGGCUCAACCUGGGAACGGCAUCCGGAACUGUCAAGCUAGAGUGCAGGAGAGGAAGGUAGAAUUCCCGGUGUAGCGGUGAAAUGCGUAGAGAUCGGGAGGAAUACCAGUGGUGAAGGCGGCCUUCUGGACUGACACUGACACUGAGGUGCGAAAGCGUGGGUAGCAAACAGGAUUAGAUACCCUUGUAGUC